rnacentral:rRNA from 1 species
AACGAACGCUGGCGGCAGGCUUAACACAUGCAAGUCGAACGCCCCGCAAGGGGAGUGGCAGACGGGUGAGUAACGCGUGGGAACAUACCCUUUCCUGCGGAAUAGCUCCGGGAAACUGGAAUUAAUACCGCAUACGCCCUACGGGGGAAAGAUUUAUCGGGGAAGGAUUGGCCCGCGUUGGAUUAGCUAGUUGGUGGGGUAAAGGCCUACCAAGGCGACGAUCCAUAGCUGGUCUGAGAGGAUGAUCAGCCACAUUGGGACUGAGACACGGCCCAAACUCCUACGGGAGGCAGCAGUGGGGAAUAUUGGACAAUGGGCGCAAGCCUGAUCCAGCCAUGCCGCGUGAGUGAUGAAGGCCUUAGGGUUGUAAAGCUCUUUCACCGAUGAAGAUAAUGACGGUAGUCGGAGAAGAAGCCCCGGCUAACUUCGUGCCAGCCGCCGCCGUAA